GAUGAACGCUGGCGGCGUGCCUAAUACAUGCAAGUCGAGCGAACAGACGAGGAGCUUGCUCCUCUGACGUUAGCGGCGGACGGGUGAGUAACACGUGGAUAACCUACCUAUAAGACUGGGAUAACUUCGGGAAACCGGAGCUAAUACCGGAUAAUAUAUUGAACCGCAUGGUUCAAUAGUGAAAGACGGUUUUGCUGUCACUUAUAGAUGGAUCCGCGCCGCAUUAGCUAGUUGGUAAGGUAACGGCUUACCAAGGCAACGAUGCGUAGCCGACCUGAGAGGGUGAUCGGCCACACUGGAACGGAGACACGGUCCAGACUCCUACGGGAGGCAGCAGUAGGGAAUCUUCCGAAAUGGGCGAAAGCCUGACGGAGAAACGCCGCGUGAGUGAUGAAGGUCUUCGGAUCGUAAAACUCUGUUAUUAGGGAAGAACAAAUGUGUAAGUAACUAUGCACGUCUUGACGGUACCUAAUCAGAAAGCCACGGCUAACUACGUG
rnacentral:rRNA from 1 species